CUCGCUCUUUCUCGCUCGACUUAACGUCGCAAGAGAUGAUGGUGGUUGUAAGCUCUACGAGCAUGACCCUUCAGGGUUCACUUUCAUAGUGACCAUUUUGCUUCUCAAAAUGUAAAUCAAGCAUUCAUGGAACCCUAAGGAACCAACUGCGUUAUUCGUACAUCAGUCCCCUCAAGUACAUACCGUGGCAGGUCAGGAUGAUAGAAGGGCGGUUGGAGGAUACCAGCCGGUACAACUGAUGAGGAGUGUGUCAACAUUCCUGAGAUAAGAUGGGGAAACGACAAAGAUGGGUUCUUCGCUUGAAACUGGUGGUUGGACGCUUGAUGGUAGGAGAUACUGGUAGAGAUGUGCCCAGUUGAUCUGUGAGGGAAAAUGAAAUUAAGCCCAGGCAUGGAAAUAAAUACAGGGGCUUGCUGGCAAACUCAUGUCAACGAGCCCGGCGACCAUUUGACGAGGAGGAGAGAGAGAGACGGCCAGCCAAAGUGAUCACUACUGUAUAGUGCACCAACCUGCAUAGCAACUGUAAGCAUGGGAACAAGAAGAAAUAGCCGUGGACACGGCUCCAAGAACUU
rnacentral:lncRNA from 1 species